GACGAACGCUGGCGGCUGUGCUUAACACAUGCAAGUCGAACGGAAAGGCCCUGCUUUUGUGGGGUGCUCGAGUGGCGAACGGGUGAGUAACACGUGAGUAACCUGCCCUUGACUUUGGGAUAACUUCAGGAAACUGGGGCUAAUACCGGAUAGGAGCUCCUGCUGCAUGGUGGGGGUUGGAAAGUUUCGGCGGUUGGGGAUGGACUCGCGGCUUAUCAGCUUGUUGGUGGGGUAGUGGCUUACCAAGGCUUUGACGGGUAGCCGGCCUGAGAGGGUGACCGGCCACAUUGGGACUGAGAUACGGCCCAGACUCCUACGGGAGGCAGCAGUGGGGAAUAUUGCACAAUGGGCGGAAGCCUGAUGCAGCAACGCCGCGUGCGGGAUGACGGCCUUCGGGUUGUAAACCGCUUUCGCCUGUGACGAAGCGUGAGUGACGGUAAUGGGUAAAGAAGCACCGGCUAACUACGUGCCAGCCAGCCGCGGUGAUACGUAGGGUGCGAGCGUUGUCCGGAUUUAUUGGGCGUAAACGGCUCGUAGGUGGUUGAUCGCGUCGGAAGUGUAAUCUUGGGGCUUAACCCUGAGCGUGCUUUCGAUACGGGUUGACUUGAGGAAGGUAGGGGAGAAUGGAAUUCCUGGUGGAGCGGUGGAAUGCGCAGAUAUCAGGAGGAACACCAGUGGCGAAGGCGGUUCUCUGGGCCUUUCCUGACGCUGAGGAGCGAAAGCGUGGGGAGCGAACAGGCUUAGAUACCCUGGUAGUCCACGCUGUAAACGGUGGGUACUAGGUGUGGGGUCCAUUCCACGGGUUCCGUGCCGUAGCUAACGCUUUAAGUACCCCGCCUGGGGAGUACGGCCGCAAGGCUAAAACUCAAAGGAAUUGACGGGGCCCCGCACAAGCGGCGGAGCAUGCGGAUUAAUUCGAUGCAACGCGUAGAACCUUACCUGGGUUUGACAUGGAUCGGGAGUGCUCAGAGAUGGGUGUGCCUCUUUUGGGGUCGGUUCACAGGUGGUGCAUGGCUGUCGUCAGCUCGUGUCGUGAGAUGUUGGGUUAAGUCCCGCAACGAGCGCAACCCUUGUUCACUGUUGCCAGCACGUUAUGGUGGGGACUCAGUGGAGACCGCCGGGGUCAACUCGGAGGAAGGUGGGGAUGACGUCAAGUCAUCAUGCCCCUUAUGUCCAGGGCUUCACGCAUGCUACAAUGGCUGGUACAGAGAGUGGCGAGCCUGUGAGGGUGAGCGAAUCUCGGAAAGCCGGUCUCAGUUCGGAUUGGGGUCUGCAACUCGACCUCAUGAAGUCGGAGUCGCUAGUAAUCGCAGAUCAGCAACGCUGCGGUGAAUACGUUCCCGGGGCU
rnacentral:rRNA from 1 species